rnacentral:rRNA from 1 species
GAUGAACGCUGGCGGCGUGCCUAAUACAUGCAAGUCGAGCGAACAGACGAGGAGCUUGCUCCUCUGACGUUAGCGGCGGACGGGUGAGUAACACGUGGAUAACCUACCUAUAAGACUGGGAUAACUUCGGGAAACCGGAGCUAAUACCGGAUAAUAUAUUGAACCGCAUGGUUCAAUAGUGAAAGACGGUUUUGCUGUCACUUAUAGAUGGAUCCGCGCCGCAUUAGCUAGUUGGUAAGGUAACGGCUUACCAAGGCAACGAUGCGGAGCCGACCUGAGAAGGGGAUUGGCCACCCCGGAACUGAGACACGGUCCAGACUCCUACGGGAGGCAGCAGUAGGGAAUCUUCCGCAAUGGGCGAAAGCCUGACGGAGCAACGCCGCGUGAGUGAUGAAGGUCUUCGGAUCGUAAAACUCUGUUAUUAGGGAAGAACAAAUGUGUAAGUAACUAUGCACGUCUUGACGGUACCUAAUCAGAAAGCCACGGCUAACUACGUG